AAGCUUGCAAGUAACCAUAACAAUGAUUAAGAGAGAGAAGAGGAGAGAUGUAUUAGGAGGAAGUAUACUUACAUAUGAUAUAUCUAUAUAAUUUUCUAACAACUAAAAAAAUCUAUUUUCUUUCUCUUUCAUUUAUUACUUCCAAGCUAGCUAAAAAAAAAAGAGAGAGAGACAGAAAGGAAUGAGUAUACGGCUGCUACUUAAAAGGAGACGGGAGAAGAAAGUUCAUGCUACUUCACUUCAUAAGCUACCUUAGAAGAAGGAGAAUAUCCACCUAAAUAAAAGGUAUAAAAAAUCUAACUAUAAAUUAGUUAAUUAAUUUUGUUUUGUUUGAUUUUGGUGAAAUAAUGGGUUAGUGUUCUUGAAGUUUAAAAAUCUUGAUUUUCAUGUUAAUGAGUGUUUCAAGUAUGGAUUUAACCAUUUUGGGUGUUUAAAUGUUGAUAAAAAGGAAGAAAAGAAAAAUAGGUUUUGUAGUUUAAAAAACCCUAAUCUUUCUCUAAAUUAAAAAUCCACCAUUUGAAAUCUACACCUUCUUUUUGCGAUCUGUCAAAGAGGAGUGCUAGAUAUGUAAGUUAACUGCUAAACCCAAGUGGUAGCACUCAAAAUUGUUUAUUUAACAAGCCUUGGCAGCCAUUUUAAUACAAACAGUCCAAAUUUUUCAAAAAGGGGAAAUAGGCUAUUUUGGAUCAGUUCAUCCCAGGGGCAGUUUUGUCAUUUUUCUUAACUUUAAAAAUUUGGUAGGGUAGUAUGAUGAGUUAUCUAGAUCCUGUCCAAAGAUGGUUAUUUUUGGAUGUAUAGAAUGAGAGUUAUGGAUUUUACAAGGAAUGACUAUUUUAAAAGUAAACCAAAAUAACUUUUUUCGUGUAACUCCUAAAAUUGUGAAAUUUUUACUGGAGGUACAUAUACAUAACAGGAACAUCUCCUGUAAAUUUUGUAAUUUUUGGACUUAAAAACUGUUCAUGAUAAUUGUUGAAGAUCUGACUAUUUUGGUCUUUUUAAAAAUAGUAAAUGAAAACCUAAAAUUUCAAAAAAAUUAUAUGUUCAUCUUGAUACCAUGUACUGAUAUUUUCCAGAAAAUAAGAGUUUUCAGAACAAUUUUAGUAUUUUUCAUGGAUGUGUUUGAGUUAUGAAUAAAUAAGAAUAAUAAGUUAUGUGAUGUCAUAAAUGGAAAAAAGUAAUUUUAUGACUUAAAACCCUAAAUAUGAUGUUUCCAGAUUUUUGGAGGGUAUUUUGGACGUCAUUUUUGAUGAGAUUUUAUAUUUAUGGCAUAUUAGGGUUGUUAAAUAAAGAAAUUAGUAAAGCGUAAACAAUCAGAAUAAAUUGUUUAUUAGUAUAAUAAAUGAUUUAAAUAUUAUUAAGAGAUUAAUAAUAUUAGAUUAUGAUAUUAUUAAGUAAUUAAUAAUAUUUAGAUGAGAAUUAAAUUAAAAUAUUAUUAAAUGAUUAAUAAAUAAUAAUUUAAAAUAUUAUUAAAUGAUUAAUAAUAUUAGAUUAAAGUUAAAUAAUAAUAUUAUUAAAUGAUUAAUAAUAUUAUUACUUGAUUAAAAUAUUAUUAAAUGGUUGAUAAUAUUUAUGAAUGGUUAAGAUAUUAAAUAUUGAUUUAAAUAUUAUUAAUUGAUUAAUAAUAUUAGUAAUUGGUUAAGAUGUGAUUAAUAUACGGAAUAUUAUUAAGUGAUUAAUAAUAUUAUCAAGUGACUAAAAUAUUAUUAAAUAAUUACUAAUAUUAAUAAGGGAUUAAAAUAUUAUUAAAUGGUUAAUAAUAUUAGAAAGUGAAUAAAAUAUUAUUAAAUAAUUAAUGAUAUUAGACAAUAGUUUAAGACAAUGGUUAUAUGGUAAUAGUAUUACCAAAGAAUGAUAAUAUUCCUAAUGAGUAAGGUAUUAUUGAAUGUUUGAUUACAUGUUAGAUAAUUUAUUACAAGAAUAGUAGUGUUAUGAGUUAUAAUAUGUUAUUCUAAUUGAGAGAUCAAUAUUAUUAAUGAUAGGUCUUUCAAAUUGUGUAGCAGUAGUCAAUGACCAAGGAAAGUUUUCUAACUCAAACUUGAGUUAUUAUUUUCCAAGCAUGUUAGUGUGUAAUUAUUGAUGAUUAUUCCAUAUCUAAGAUUGUCAUUGAAUAUUCGUAUGUAUUGCAAUUUCUUUAACUCAAAUCCGAAUUAUUAUUUACCAUCAUGUUAAGUGGGUAAUUAUUACUGAUUAUACCACAUCUAAGAUUAUUAUUGAUUAUUCGUAAUUAGUGCAAGUUCAUUAACUCAAAUUUAGUUUUAAAAUUUCAAAAGUGUGACUGGUGAAUAACUAUUGUUGGUUAUUCACAUCUAUAAAUAUUAUUGUUGAUUGCAAAUAGUGCAAUUGAUUUCUGUCUAUUAUUGAACUGUUUAUGACUUAUGUCUCAGCUAAUUGUUUUGGCGAGACUAAUGAUUGUUGAAACUUGAUACGUUCUAGUAUUUGAACUAAGUUGUUAUUAAAAGAUCAAUGCUAAUUAUUUCGGCCAGAUCAAUAUAGAUAUUAUGUUGAAAUCUUUAGCAUUUCUUUAAAUUCAAGCCAUAUUAUUGUGGUACGAACUCUUGAUGUAAGACUGAGAUGAACAACCCUUAUAUAAAAGGGACUUUAGGGUCGGACAUCCGGCUAUUGUGCUAUUUUUGAGUAUCAUGUAUAAUAUAGGGUACAAUGAAGCUGAUCACUUCAUGUGCUUGCAGAGGAGUAUGAUUUAAUCUUUAUGGUUGUAACGCCCGAGAAAAUCGAAUUUUUAUGACUAUUAAAUUUUUAUUUGAUUAUGUGAAUUAAAUGAAUUUAAUUGAUUGUUAUGUGAGUAAGCUAUGUGAAGGUCGUUCUAUGACCUAGAAUGUGCUAACGUGGUUAGUAUUCUGGCUUCGUGCUAGAAUUAUUUGUUUGGAAUUUCCAAGACAAAAAAAACUGUUUUAUAAGAAAUUUCUAUAUAAAUACUAUUCAUCCGUUUCUGUUCGGGAAAUUAUUUUGAAAUUCCGAGAAACACGUAAUGAUGGAAUAUCGUGAUAAGAUGGAAUAUCUGAUAAUAUUUCAUUUAUGACAAAUGUAGUUUUCGCCUGCAGACUUAAAACCUAAGGAUUGAGUAUAUUGAUUUCCAAGAAGGAAAUGAUAUGCGUAGAAGAAAUUGUGUUAAGGUUAAUGCGAGUGUUAUACAAGUAUGAUACUAUUUAGUAUCUAUGUAUAAUACGUUGAGUAAAUACGAAGUACAAUACGAUUAUUGUACGUGUAGUAUACAGAAAGAAUACGUGAAUUAUACGUGUAGAAUACGAUUCGUAUUAUAGGAUUAAGAUUAAGUCUUAAUGAAUAAGUCAUUUGAGUUGGAUUUCUAUUAGUCCAAUUAUUAAAUGACCAAGCCCAAGGAGAUUUUUGAGUUGAGCCAAAGUCAAGGCCCAAUGUUUAUUUAGUUAAGCCCAAUUCAUUUAAACCGAACCGUGGAUCGAUCCAGUGGGUCACCGAAUGGGUAAAACCCAUGGGGCAACCCAUGGAAUGUCACUUUGCAAGUGGUGGGCCGGCUACUUGGAGUGGAAGCCAAGCAUAAGGCUUGGUCACCAAGUAUUUUACUUGGUGACCAAGAGUGAAUAGUAAGGAGGUGAUGGUUCAUUGUCCAAAUUACCCUCCAUUCUCAUUUCCUAUAAAUAGAAAGCUAGGUUGAUUCAUUUUGGAGUUUUGAAAUUUGCCAACCUAGAUUAUUUGAGAGAGAAAGAGAGCUAGACUUAUAAAACAUACACUUUGGAAGCUUGAUCUUCUAGUUUUCGAAGAGAGUUUCACAAGGAUUCUUAAGGUAUAAUCCUUACCUUUCAUCUCCAUCUCUUUUUGAUUUUUCUUUUAUCUUGAAGAAUCAUAGAUGGGUAGUAUAUGUCUUGUAUAGGAGAUUAAUGAUGGCUUAUCAUAGAUUCAAUCUCUACAAGUCAUGAGAUUAUAUAAAUCAUAAGGUUUAAUACAGUUUUGAACCAUGAAAAUAUUGUUUGUUGAGAUUGAUCGUUUAUAAACGAUUGAACUCCAUCAAUACGUUAAUAUUUGCACCUUGUUUGGUUAGGAUGUAGAUAUGAAAUCCAUGGAGUAUUCCAUGUGAUUGGCUUAGAGAACCCUAGUAACGAAGUUAUGGCGAAUUUUAUGUAAUUAGACGUUAAACGUCGAAAACGUUGAAAUCUGGAUUAGAGGUUAAAAGUUACCAUGAGACUUGAAAACGUUGGUUUUCAAUGUCAACACGUGAGAUAGGGUGAUUAAGAGUUGUGGGUUUGAGAAUCGUCGGAUUCUGACUUAAAACAAAGAAAACAAGCAUUGAACGCUCUUUAACGUUUACGAACGUCUAAAAAUGAACUCAAUAGUGAAUUUUGAGUUAUCGGAUUCGAAAGUUUCAAAUUCUUAUAUGAAUGCGUAGAUUAUGUUAUUUAGGACGUGUAAACUUUUGAACGGACAAAAUUGGGCUUAUAACGAAGAAGUUAUGGCCCCGGGAAUUUCACAAAGUUUUUCAAAAUUUGUUGGAAUCUGGUACUGAGGUCUGGCGCCGCGGCGCCAGACAUAGUGUUAAAUGUCGUGCCGCAGCACCGACACAGUAAACUUGAGUACUACUAAAUGGCGCUGCAGUGCCACUGUUUCGCGUCACAGCGCCGCGACCGAGGCCCAGACACUGCUAACUGGCACCGCAGCACCAGUCUAGUACUACAUAGGCCGCGCUGUAGCACGAGUUCAAGAAUGUUGUUAGUGACUUAGGUUUUGAACUUCAUUUGUUCAUGAACCUAAAGGGGUAAUGUUUGUACACUUCAUAAGUGUAUUAAAGCUAUUCCUAUACUACCUAUACUAAGGUAUAUGGUAUUGAACUUAGGAGCUGAAUGCAUGUUAAUGAGUUAUGAGUGAUGAACAACGUUGGUACCUCGCCGACAAUGUUAGAGUCCGAUUAAUAACUAAGUUGGUUAAUAAGCCGGGAUGAAGGGUAAAAAGUCAAGUUGACUUUAUUAUUGAUAUUAAGUUAACUAAGACAUAUAAGAGAAAGAAGCUUGUAGAAACAAUGUGAACAUUUGUUUGAUAGCUAAUUAAAGUGUGCUAAUGUGAAUAUAUCAUGUAGAUUCUGUAAAGGCUGUGGUCAGUCGAUUAAAUUAUUUGAAGAUGCUGAAAGGCAAGUUUUCUUAACGCUUGUCUAACUUCCAUGUUAGCCAAGUUUUAUGUGAUUCGUUGAACUGGAUUGCAAGACUUGUUUUAAAGAAAGGGUCGAUCCCAGAUUUUAAUUUGGCUAGGCUAUUCGUAAUAUAUAGAUUGAUUAUGAUUCAUAUCUUUCUAUAUAGAAAUGUUCAACGCUAUCAUAUGCCAAGUGAUUGGUACGGAUGUGAAGGUAAGGUUUGUCUAUGAACAAACAAAAGUAUUUUUCAUCGAUUAUUCGAUGGGCACACGAGUUUGCCAAAAAAUAUUAAACGUAAAUACGUUUAAUGAAUGAGUGUUGAUCAACAUAGAGUACUAUAGGCUGAUCACCUAGAAGUGCUCGUAAGUUAUCUGAUGAACGGCCUUAGUGCUGUGGACUCCUUUUCAAGUAUGAAAAUUGAAAGUUAUUGUUCAUGGUCUAUCGACCGGUUCAGAAUUCCUAAUCUAUUCUAUACUUUGGGAAUUGAUGUUAUGAACUAUUAAAGUAUUAUUGAUUCAUAAUACUUCAUAACUAUUGUUCGGUUAUGUCGAAAUUGUUAUAUAAUUCACGAAUGUGGUAUUAUUGUUAUCAUUGAUUAAACUUGCUGAGCUGUCAUGCUCACUUCUUGCAUGAAUUAUAUAACUGCAGUUAAGGAUGAACAUACUAUGAAUGUCAAGAGAGAUAAGGGCAAAGCUAAGAUGGAUGCUUAGACAUUGUGUAAUAGUUUAGUAAGUUUGUAUGUAUUAUACAUUAUGAACAAUGAACGAUGUAACCGGUUUAUGAACCUGGAAAGUAUUUAUACUUUGAUUGUAAUAAGAAGAUAGUAAUUACAUUCAUUUUGUUUUAUUUCAAUGGAAUGAUUGUAUGGAUGUUAGUACAGUGGAGCACCAUAUGUCGAGUUGAAAGAUACCCGAAUUUGGGGGCGUCACAGGUUGGUAUCAAAGCCUUAGGUUAUAAAACUUAAGGGGGGGAAAAACUUAGGCUAAUAAUCUCGUAAGGAAGGUAAAGUCCGAGGAAUGAAAUUCAAGUCCAUUGAAUUAAUAAGGUAUUGAGAUAACUCAGUAUCGAAAGGAUUAAAAGAUGGAAAUUAAUCUUAAAGAUAUUAAAUGUGAUUUAUGCUUAUACUAUUGUGUAUUAUGUACUAAUCAACGUGUUAUGUGUUUUUAGAUGUCAACCGAUAGCUUGAUGUUUAGAAACAUGGAAAUGAUAAGUGAGGAUUCAGUGAAUCAAGUUGAGAUAGUACCAAUGCCAGUGGCGGAGGUACCAAUAGUUGUACUAGAUGACUCAGACAUUGAGGAGUACAUCUCUGAGGAGGAAUACUCUGAGGAGAAUAUGGGUUUAGCAUCAUACCUUAACGAGAUGCUAGACGUGGAGGAGGAAAUGGAGGUGACAUCGGUUAAUACAAUGGUGCCUACUCAGGAGCCGACACCUCCGGAUGCAAUGAGAGCAUUGUAUCUGUCUGUGUUGGAUAGGAAUGUGCAUCUGCGCACAGUAGUAGAGACUCAGAUUGAAGAGAUAACUGCCCUUUAUGAGGCGAAAGAAUCUGCAGAGGCAGACUUUGAGUCAGAGCACGAUGAGAAAGUGCUUAUGACUGAUAAGGCUCGUGACUAUAAGGAUGAGGUCCUUGAGCUACAAAAGAAACUGGUUGAGAAAGACCAGAAGAUAGCUAGGAUGUCAUACAUCCACGAAUGCGCUCAUGAGGAUUUCAAGCUGAAAAUUGCUUGUUAUUCUAUUGAGUCAGGGUAGACUCGACAUACCAUAAGUUGAGAUAUAGUGUCGAUUCUGGCAAAUCAGAAAUAUGAGAAUGUCGUUCGACAGUGUUAGUAGAUCGUUAGAUCUUUUUGUAUAUGGCGGUAGUGACGUAAAGCCCUCUUUUGUAUAAUUAAAGGGUAGUCUUUUUGUAAAUCCCAAUUUUUGUAGAAGGCAAUCGCGGGAUAGUAUGUAAUAGCUUUUGGCUAAGGGAACAUGAUGUAAAUAGUUUUGACUAUGAAAGCAUAUUUAUAUAAUGAAGUUUUUAUUAAAUGUGCUUGUUGUGGUAUGAAUGGUUGUUAUUAAUUGAGAAUGAUAACCGAGCUGUUAAAUAUAUAAUAACGAAGCUUUAUUUAUUUAAUUAGAAUUAUGCCGCCGAGAAGGAGACAACGUAACUAAGAGGCCGAAUCUCAUAAUGAGAAUCAGGGGGUCCUAAUAACCCUAUGCAAGAGUUCUUUAAUUUAUUAACGGCUGCAUUUAACCAAGUGGAGGGUGGGAUUCCUGUAGCUCCUGGGGUAGCAAGAACAACUACCUUUAAGGACUUUUAAAGUGUGGUUCCUCCCAAGUUCCGAGGAACGAUGGACCCAUUAGAAGCCCAGACGUGGGUAGAGAGAUUGAGAAGGCGUUUGUGAUAACAAACGUAAGUGAGGUGCAAAAGACUUCAUUUGCGACUUACAUGAUGAAGGGGGAAGCCAACUACUGGUGGGAGGCUCACCAGGGUGGCACUAGGACAGAGGCUGUUACGUUGGAACAGUUUAAGAAGGUCUUCUUCGAAAACUAUUUCCCUACUAGCAUGCAGGGUAGGAUGGAAAUUAAGUUCCUAGAACUUAAGUAGGGGGAUAUGACGGUUCCCCAGUAUGCCGCCAAGUUUAACGAAUUGGCGAGAUUUGCUCAACACCAGGUGGAUAUAGAGGAGAGAAAGGGGCGCAGGUUUGAGCAGGGCUUAAAACCCUGGCUCUAUAGUAGGAUAUCAGUUUUCCAGAGUGCUUUCUACGGGACCAUUCUGGAAAAGGCGAUAAUAGUUGAAGGUGGUGGUGAGGCAUUGUCUUAGUACCAUAAAGAGUGAAAGAUCAAGAACAAGUUAGAGGAGGUAGUAAGGCCGAAGUUGCAAGCGGAAGUGGUAACUUGCCAAAGAGAAUGAAUUUUAACCCUGGGAAUACCGGGGUAAAGCAGGGAGAUCCCAAAUGGAGGAUGAAAGCAUGUAAGACACGCGGAAAUCCUCACAUUGGAGUCUGUUUAAAGGGGAAAGCAGUAUGCUACAACUGUGGGCAGGAGGGGCAUUUGUCACCCAACUGUCCUAACCCUAAGAAGAACCAGGGAUGUUUUGUCUGUGGGUCAGUGGAUCACAUGGCAAGAAAUUGCCCGAAGAAGGGUUUAGAGGGGAAUAAGAGUUAUGGUAGGUAAAUUAGCCAUUACUGGACCAACACCAUCGGUGGGUAGACCCUCAGUUCGUACGUUUAAUAUGACUGUCCAAGAUGCGGUUGCAUCAACGGAUGUGGUAGCAGGUAUCAUUCCGGUCAAUAAGAUAAAUACUUAUGUGCUAUUUAACUCGAGUGCUACUUGUUCUUUUAUAACAUAUGAAUUUGCUAAGCGAUUAGGUUUAAUCCCUGAGAAGUUACCUAUACCUUUAGACGUUAAGGUAGAAAAUGAAAAGAUAAUCCCCAUUGAACAUAUUCAUAAGGAUUGUUGCGUAGAAAUUAGAGGAAAUAAGUUAUCGGUAGAUUUGGUACCGAUAAAAUUUAUAGUUAAAAGAAUUUGAUGUAAUUUUUGGUAUGGAUUGGUUGAUUAACCAUAAGGAGAUAAUAGAUUACCAUAAGAAAAGUGUAAACCUUCGGCUUUCUAGGAAAACCAAGGUAGUGUUCUUCGGUAGUAAAUCACCGAGACGCUCUUGUUGUCUGUCUAUAACACAAGCUAGGAAGAUGUUGAGAAAAGGGUGUGUAGGUUAUCUAUGUCAUGUUGUGGAUACCCAAAGAGUGGGAACAUCCUUGGAACAGAUACCUAUAGUGCAAAAGUUCGCGGAUGUAUUUUCGGAGGAUUUACCGGGUAUUCCACCGGACAGGGAGGUAUAGUUUGUAAUUGAUCUGUUACCGGGAACGGCACCAGUUUCAAGGGCACCAUAUCGGAUGGCGCCAGUUGAGAUGAAGGAGUUAAUGGUUUAAUUACAAGAACUAUUAGAUAGGAAGUACAUUCAACCAAGUGUGUCUCCUUGGGGAGCACCAGUGUUUUUUGUAAAGAAGAAGGAUGGGUCGUUAAGACUUUGUAUUGACUAUCGAGAGUUGAACAAGUUGACGAUUAAGAAUAAAUAACUGUUGCCCAGGAACGAUGAUCUAUUUGAUCAGUUGAAAGGGGAAAAGUAUUUUUCUAAGAUAGAUUUGCGCACGGGGUAUCAUCAGUUAAAGGUGAGGAAGGAGGAUGUACCUAAUACGGUGUUCAGAACUCGUUAUGGUCAUUACGAGUUUCUGGUAAUGUCGUUUGGGUUAACUCAUGCGCCAACCGCAUUUAUAGAUAUGAUGAACAGAGUGUUCAAACAAUAUUUGGACAAGUUCGUAGUAGGGUUCGUUGAUGAUAUUCUAGUCUAUUCUAAGACGUCAGAAGAUCAUGUAGAACAUUUAAGAAUAGUGUUGGAAACACUAAGGAAGGAGAAGUUGUAUGCGAAAUUCACAAAGUGUGAAUUUUGGCUUGAGCGAGUGCAGUUUCUAGGGCAUGUUAUCGAUAAGGAUGGCAUUUUCGUAGAUCCAACAAAAGUAGAAGCAGUUAAUGAAUGGGAGCAACCGAAAAUGCCAACUGAGGUUCGGAGUUUUCUAGGGUUAGCGGGAUACUAUAGAAGGUUCAUUCCGGACUUUCUAAAAUAACUACUCCAUUGACAAAUCUGACAAGAAAGUCGAUGAAGUAUGUGUGGACUGAAAAAUGUGAGAACAGUUUUCAAGAGUUGAAAAAGAGGUUGAGUGAGGCACCUGUAUUGUCCUUACCAGAUGAUACAGGGAACUUUGUAGUAUAUAGCGAUGCUUCACAUAAGGGACUGGGUGGCAUGCUCAUGUAACAUGGCAAAGUCAUUGCGUAUGCGUCACGUCAAUUGAUGGAUUAUGAAAAGGUCUAUCCUACUCAUGAUUUGGAAUUGGCAGCUGUAAUUUUUGCCUUAAAAAUAUGGAGGCAUUAUCUUUAUGGUGAGAAGUGUGAGAUAUACACGGACCAUAAAAGUCUGAAAUAUAUCUUUACAUAGAAGGAGUUGAACAUGAGACAGAGAAGGUGGUUAGAGUUAAUAAAGGAUUAUGACUGUGAUAUCUUAUAUCAUCUGGGGAAAGCAAAUGUAGUAGCCGAUGCGUUAAGUAGGAAGGGUAGAGAGAAACUGUCAAUGUGAACAACUCAGAAUGAGUUGAUAACAGCGAUGGCAAGCAUGGAGCUAGAAGUUAAGUUACCAGAAGAAGCGGGGGAAAUGUUAUUUUCCAUGGAAAUCCAACCGACCAUAGCGGAACUGGUUAGGGGAGUAAAAUUGAGUAACGAGGACUGCCAGCAGAUACAGAAGAGGAUAGAAGAUGAAAAGAAGACUAAGUAUAACCUCGAUAAGGAGGGAUUACUUCAUUUUGAAGGAAGAAUUUGGGUUCCGAAUGAUCCCGAAUUAAAGGAAGAAAUAAUGAUGGAGGCUCAUAGUUUGAGGUACUCGAUACAUCCCGGUAGUACGAAGAUGUAUCAAGACCUUCGUCAGAACUUUUGGUAGCUGAACAUGAAGAGGGAGAUAGCAGAAUACGUUAGUAGGUGCUUAACUUGUCAAAAAGUUAAGGCUGAACACCAACGACCUAGCGGGUUGUUGCAACCGUUAGAAAUUCUAGAGUGGAAGUGGGAGCACAUCACGAUGGACUUUGUGGUGGGACUUCCGACAACCAGAAAAGGAUAUGAUGCUAUUUGGGUGAUAGUGGAUCAAUUGACAAAAUCAGCUCAUUUUCUACCAAUAGGAGUCAAGUAUAACUUGGAUCAGUUAGCUAAGCUGUAUGUCAAGGAAAUUAUUUCCAGACACGGAGUACCUGUUUCGAUCGUGUGAGAUCGUGAUCCACGAUUCACAUCGAACUUUUGGAGGAGUUUGCAAGAGAAAAUGGGAACGCAAUUAAGAUUGAGUAUGGCGUAUCAUCCUCAGACGGAUGGUCGGAGUGAGAGGACAAUUCAAAUGCUAGAAGAUAUGUUAAGAUCUUGCGUUAUGGAUUUCAAAGGGAGUUGGGACGAAUAUCUGCCGUUGGUGGAAUUUUUGUACAACAAUAGUUUUCACGCUAGUAUAGGCAUGUUGCCUUACGAAGCGUUGUGUGGAAGGAAGUGCCGAACUCCGUUGUGUUGGGAUGAGGUGGGUGAACAUCGGAUGUUGCGACCUGAGAUGGUACAGCAGACGGCGGACAUGGUGAAAUUAAUACGUACUCGAUUAGUUGUUGCUCAAGAUAGGCAGAAGAAGUAUGCGAAUCCUCACAGAGAAAAUAGAGAAUUCGAUGUAGGAUCCUUUGUUUUUCUAAAAGUAUCGCCUUGGAAGGGGAAGAUACGUUUUGGGAAGAAAGGGAAGUUAAGUCCAAGGUUUGUAGGACCUUUUGAGAUUUUAAGAAGAGUAUGAGAGGUAGCCUAUGAAGUGGCUUUACCUCCUGAGAUGGAACGCAUUCAUAAUGUGUUUUAUGUGUCAGUGUUGCGUCCUUAUAAACCGGACUAUAAACACGUAAUAGAGUAUGAAUCUAUUCAGAUAGAGAAAGACUUGUCCUACGAGGAACUUUCAGUUCAAAUUAUUGAUAGGAAAGAACAAGUUUUAAGAAAUAAGGUAAUACCUUCCGUCAAGGUGUUAUGGAGAAACCACAAUGCUGAAGAAGCAACGUGGGAGCUCGAGAGUAAAAUGAAGGAAGAUUUUCCUCAUUUAUUUAUAUAAUUAUAAGCUAAGAUUCUGGGGACAGAAUCCUUAUAAGGGGGAGAGAAUGUAACGCCCGAGAAAAUCGGAUUUUUAUGACAAUUAAAUUAUUAUUUGAUUAUGUGAAUUAAAUGAAGUUAAUUGAUUGUUAUGUGAGUAAGCUAUGUGAAGGUCGUUCUAUGACCUUGAAUGUGCUAACGUGAUUAGUAUUCUGGCUUUGUGUUAGAAUUAUUUGUUUGGAAUUUCCAAGACGAAAAUAACUAUUUUCUAAAAAAUUUCCGUAGAAACACUAUUCAUCCGUUUCUGUUCGGGAAAUUAUUUUGAAAUUUCGAGAAACGUGUAAUGAUGGAAUAUCGUGAUAAGAUGGAAUAUCUGAUAAUAUUUCAUUUAUGACAAACACAAUUUUCGCCUGCAGACUUAAAACCUAAGGGUUGAGUAUAUUGAUUUCUGAGAAGGAAAUAAUAUGCGUAGAAGGAAUUGUGUUAAGGUUAAUGCAAGUAAAUACAAAGUACAAUACGACUAUUGUACGUGUAGUAUACGGAAAGAAUACAUGAAUUGUACGUGUAGAAUACGAUUCGUAUUAUAGAAUUAAGAUUAAGUCUUAAUGAAUAAGUCAUUUGAGUUGGAUUUCUAUUAGUCCAAUUAUUAAAUGACCAAGCCCAAGGAGAUUAGUGAGUUGAGCCCAAGUCAAGGCCCAAUGUUUAUUUAGUUAAGCCCAAUUCAUUUAAACCGAACGGUGGAUCGAUCCGGUGGAUCACCGAAUGGGUAAAACCCAUGGGGCAACCCAUGGAAUGUCACUUUGCAAGUGAUGGGCCGACUACUUGGAGUGGAAUCCAAGCAUAAGGCUUGGUGACCAAGAGUGAAUAGUAAGGAGGUGAUGGUUCAUUGUCCAAAUUACCCUCCAUUCUUAUUUCCUAUAAAUAGAAAUCUAGGUUGAUUCAUUUUGGAAUUUUGAAAUUUUCCAACCUAGAUUAUUUGAGAGAGAAAGAGAGAUAGACUUAUAAAACAUACACUUUGGAAGCUUGAUCUUCUAGUUUUCCAAGAGAGUUUCACAAGGAUUCUUAAGGUAUAAUCCUUACCUUUCAUCUCCAUCUCUUUUUGAUUUUUCUUUUAUCUUGAAGAAUCAUAGAUGGGUAGUAUAUGUCUUGUAUAGGAGAUUAAUGAUGGCUUAUCAUAAAUUCAAUCUCUACAAGUCAUGAGAUUAUAUAAAUCAUAAGGUUUAAUACAGUUUUGAACCAUGAAAAUAUUGUUUGUUGAGAUUGAUCGUUUAUAAAUGAUUGAACUCCAUUAAUACGUUAAUAUUUGCAUCUUUUUUGGUUAGGAUGUAGAUAUGAAAUCCAUGCAGUAUUCUAUGUGAUUUUGCUUAGAGAACCCUAGUAACGAAGUUAUGGCGAAUUUUAUGUAAUUAGACGUUAAACGUCGAAAACGUUGAAAUCUGGAUUAGAGGUUAAAAGUUACUAUGAGACUUGAAAACAUUGGUUUUCAAUGUCAACACGUGAGAUAGGGUGAUUAAGAGUUGUGGGUUUGAGAAUCGUCGGAUUCUGACUUAAAACGAAGAAAACGAGCAUUGAACGCUCUUUAACGUUUACGAACGUCUAAAAAUGAACUCAAUAGUGAAUUUUGAGUUAUCGGAUUCGAAAGUGUCAAAUUCUUAUAUGAAUGCGUAGAUUAUGUUAUUUAGGACGUUUAGGCUUUUGAACAGACAAAAUUGGGCUUAUAACGAAGAAGUUAUGGCCCCGGGAAUUUCACAAAGUUUUUCAAAAUUUGUUGGAAUCUGGUACUGAGGUCUGGCGCCGCGGCGCCAGACAUAGUGUUAAAUGUCGUGCCGCAGCACCGACACAGUAAACUUGAGUACUACUAAAUGGUGCUGCAGUGCCACUGUUCCGCGUCACAGCGCUGCGAUCGAGGCCCAGACACUGCUAACUGGCACCGCAGCGCCAGUCUAGUACUACAUAGGCCGCGCCGCAGCGCGAGUUCAAGAAUGUUGUUAGUGACUUAGGUUUUGAACUUCAUUUGUUCAUGAACCUAAAGGGGUAAUGUUUGUACACUUCAUAAGUGUAUUAAAGCUAUUCCUAUACUACCUAUACUAAGGUAUAUGGUAUUGAACUUAGGAGCUGAAUGCAUGUUAAUGAGUUAUGAGUGAUGAACAACGUUGGUACUUCGCCGACAAUGUUAGAGUCCGGUUAAUAACUAAGUUGGUUAAUAAGCCGGGAUGAAGGGUAAAAAGUCGAGUUGACUUUAUUAUUGAUAUUAAGUUAACUAAGACAUAGAAGAGAAAGAAGCUUGUAGAAACAAUGUGAACAGUUGUUUGAUAGCUAAUUAAAGUGUGCUAUGUGAAUAUAUCAUAUAGAUUCUGUAAAGGUUGUGGUCAGUCGAUUAAAUUAUUUGAAGACGCUGAAAGGCAAGUUUUCUUAACGCUUGUCUAACUUCCAUGUUAGCCAAGUUUUAUGUGAUUCAUUGAACUGGAUUGCAAGACUUGUUUUAAAGAAAGGGUCGAUGCCAGAUUUUAAUUUGGCUAGGCUAUUCGUAAUAUAUAGAUUGAUUAUGAUUCAUAUCUUUCUAUAUAGAAAUGUUAACGCUAUCAUAUGCCAAAUGAUUGGUAUGGAUGUGAAGGUAAGGUUUGUCUAUGAACAAACAAAAGUAUUUUUCAUCGAUUAUUCGAUGGGCACACGAGUUUGCCAAAAAAUAUUAAACGUAAAUACGUUUAAUGAAUGAGUGUUGAUCAACAUAGAGUACUAUAGGUUGAUCACCUAGAAGUGCUCGUAAGUUAUCGGAUGAACGGCCUUAGUGCUGUGGACUCCUUUUCAAGUUUGAAAAUUGAAAGUUACUGUUCAUGGUCUAUCGACCGGUUCAGAAUUCCUAAUCUAUUCUAUACUUUGGGAAUUGAUGUUAUGAAGUAUUAAAGUAUUAUUGAUUCAUAAUACUUCAUAACUAUUGUUCGGUUAUGUCAAAAUUGUUAUAUAAUUCACGAAUGUGGUAUUACUGUUAUCAUUGAUUAAACUUGCUGAGCUGUCAUGCUCACUUCUUGCAUGAAUUAUAUAACUGCAGUUAAGGAUGAACAUACUAUGAAUGCCAAGAGAGAUAAGGGCAAAGCUAAGAUGGAUGCUUAGACAUUGUGUAAUAGUUUAGUAAGUUUGUAUGUAUUAUACAUUAUGAACAAUGAACGAUGUAACCGGUUUAUGAACCUGGGAAGGAUUUAUACUUUGAUUGUAAUAAGAAGAUAGUAAUUACAUUCAUUUUGUUGUAUUUCAAUGAAAUGAUUGUAUGGAUGUUAGUACAGUGUAGCACCAUAUGUCGGAUUGAAAGAUACCCGAAUUUGGGGGCGUCACGAUGGUUAAUUGAUACUCUUUAGGUAAUUCAGCACUAUAUAACUAAUAAUCCUUGAUUAGUUCAAGAUCCAUUAUGAUCACUCAGCAUGAAAUCUAGGAAUACCCCACUUUAUUAUUGUAGUAUUAUUAUCUCUUGUUAAUCAAUUGAACAUUAUCGAAACUUCGAAAGAGUUUCACUCUUUCAUCAUUGAAUUGUUGUUUAGCAUGAAAUUCGAUAAAGUCUUGUUAAAAUAAAUUAUUUAUUCAGCUACUUCAAAAUCCAUUGAAUAUUAUUGAAUUCUUAUCAAAUUUAGACUAUAAUAUUCUUGAUUCAUAUUUCUAAUUGUAUGCUUUAACUUGCGGAGCAAACUCGUUGCUCACCCUUGCUUAAAAAUAAUAUUUCAGCAAAUGAAGAGAUAACUGGAGGGGUAGAUAAAGACGAGGGCAAGGACAAAACUCAGG
rnacentral:lncRNA from 1 species